rnacentral:rRNA from 1 species
UGGAGGGAACUCUGAACCAGCCAUGCCGCGUGCAGGAUGACGGCCCUCGGGUUGUAAACUGCUUUUAUUCGGGAAUAAACCUACUUACGUGUAAGUAGCUGAAUGUACCGAAGGAAUAAGGAUCGGCUAACUCCGUGCCAGCAGCCGCGGUAAUACGGAGGAUCCAAGCGUUAUCCGGAUUUAUUGGGUUUAAAGGGUGCGUAGGCGGCUUUUUAAGUCAGGGGUGAAAGACGGUAGCUCAACUAUCGCAGUGCCCUUGAUACUGAAGAGCUUGAAUGAACUAGAGGUAGGCGGAAUGUGACAAGUAGCGGUGAAAUGCAUAGAUAUGUCACAGAACACCGAUUGCGAAGGCAGCU